UUUUUGGAGAGUUUGAUCCUGGCUCAGGACGAACGCUGGCGGCGUGCCUAAUACAUGCAAGUCGAGCGGACUUUUAAA
rnacentral:rRNA from 1 species